UUUUCCGCCGAUUCCGACUUUCUCCUUUUUCUUUUCUCGCUUAUUUCCUUCCGCGAGGGGCUUCGUCUGCCGAUCCAUCGCUGUUCCCGGCUGCUGCUCCUGGUUUCGACUCCUGCCUUGCCGUGGGUUGCUGCUCCCACUCCACUGGCUGCUCCCAUUGUUUCUGUUCUUCCUCCCGCUGGUCUCCAACGUGGGUUCGUUACCCUUUUUGCCUCUUGCCUCUUGGUGUGUGGGUUUGUUUCUUCGUGUGGGCGGCGGUUAAUUUGGUUGCUGCUGUGCUCGCCGGCUUUUGGGGCCGGGGUACUUGUUUGGUUGGUGGCGGCUCGCGGCCUUCGUUGUCGCCACCGCCAUCCAGAGCUCCGCCGCCUCCUCAGCGUACGCCGCCGCAUCCCAUCCCUCAUCUAUCUCUGAACCUGGGACGAGUGCAAUGAACCGCCGCCACGGAUCUGCAGCCUCACCCAUGGAUUUAUGGCCUCCUCGCGCCUGCGUCGAGCUAGCUGGUGAGAUCCACGCGGUGCUUCCUCUCCCCAAGCUCCUGCUCGCUGGACCGGCAACGGCAAGCUGACGGAUUCCAACCAUGCUAUCAGCCUGUAAGAAGCUCUACUUCCUGUGACAGCAAAAUCCUAAAUGUUCCAUAAAGAGUCUUAAACUGACCAGGGGGCAAUGGAAGCCAUGACACACUCUAUGAAGUGAUAGAUGGUGUGACAUCUCCCCUUGAGACUGAAUUUUUCCUCAGAAGACUCAUGCUAUGACUAUUUAUAUUGUCACCUCCAUGGCACGUCCACGACAAGCUUUUUAUUCCAAACUGAAUUGUUAGUGGUACUGGACGAAUACUUUUGUCAUUUUAUUCAUGUUAAGGAGAAUUUUCUCCUCCAUGUUGAUUGGAGCUUAGCAUGGGGUUUUACUGCCCUCUGUGUUCUGUAAAGGCGCGAUUGUUUGUGGGAACUUGCAACGCUUCAUAGUGGUAAACGGCAAGUUGUGUAUAUGCUUUUAGAGAGUUGUAAUUUGGAUGUGGCGAUUUGAUUUCUGUGUCUGGCGAUUGUAUAUGUACUUAAUGUAUGUCGUGUAUUUGGACAGUCAUUAUUUGCUUGCUGAUGGUAAACGGAAAAAUCUAUUAGUUUUAAUUCGUUGUAUUUGGCUCACCUUUGCAACUUUUCAAGUAAUAAUGAUGUUCGAUGCAUUAAACAUGAGGCAGGCAAUAGCUUAUACUCCCUGCGUCCCAUAUUAAGUGCCGAAAUAUUACAUGUAUCUAGACGCUUUUUACAUAUAGAUACGUCCAUAUUUGGGCAAAUUUGAGUCACUUAAUAUGGGAUGGAGGGAGUAUUUACUAUACUCGAAUAAACCAGAACGGUUGAUCCUACAUAGAUCGUUGAUCAACUAUUUAUGUAUGUCGAUUGAGUCUGUUUUUGACAAAAACAACUCCUUUCUCCCAUUCUUUAAUUACUUGGUUACCUUUUUUGUUUGUGUUGGUUCUUGUUUCUUCAACAGUUGCCUGCUUUGAAUUUUAGAGAUAGCAUAGCUGCAUUCGUCCCUUUUCAUGGUUCUUUUAGUUUUACUAACAUCUAUAUCAGAUCAAGUUGUAAUAGUUUUUGUUCACACCUUCUCUGUCGAACUUUUUUGGACAUUUGUGCAGGUAUGCAAAACUUAGCAUUUUUAGUAAUCUCAUUUAUGUGCUCAUCUUGUGUUUCUUCCCAUCUUUGGCCAUCUUUAACAGGUAUUCGGAUACUGCCGGCUUCUUUUUGAGACUUGGUUCAGCUGUUGAUAAGUGAAAUGUCAUCAACAGCCGACGCAAGGUAAUAUUUGCACUAAGAUGUGCCGACUUAGUUAUUCAGGGAUGUUAUACCUACACAAGAUAGAAAGAUUAUGCAAUGAAACUGAAAAAUUUCUUAGUUAAUAAUAGCAUGCUAUUUGAUGUUUGAAGUUGACCCAUGAUUAAAUAAUAUCCAUUUGCAAGUGGAAAAGAAAUACGUCUUGCUUGUUCCGAUAAGCAGUGUCACCAUUUGAACACAAACAUUUUUUAUUCGAAAGUUGUUUCCUGCAUGCAGGAUUAUCUGAUUGCAAGCAUUAUCUACCUUUAUGCACAUGAUUUUUGAACAAGCUAAGACAUGCUACAAUGAUUGCUUGGGCUCCAGGGUAAGUUUUGAAUUUGUGGUAGCAUGGUAGUUACAUCGAUGAGGGAAAUGCAUAUAUGUCUUUUGAUUUCCUUAGUUAAAGCCCAUCGGUUUCUGAACUAUACCUGCAAUGUUACAUUGCCUAUGUGAUUAUAUCUGAAGAUACCCUAUGACGAUGCAUGAGCUUAGGUAGAAUGGCAAACUAGGAGCUCAUGCAUCGUAGGCUAAACAUGUCACUGAUAAUGUUUCUUCCAAUUAAGAAAUAAGCUUCAGGUUCUAUUAACUCUAUUCCAUUGGAUACAUUGCAUCAGUUAUCGAACUACUAUUGGACUGCUAAUUGUUUGAUGUGCACGCAUGUACUUUAGUUUGUAUUCCAUCUGCUACAGUUCUUCCUGGUUGCUUGUUUUAGUGCUUGUCUUCACCUAGAUUUAGGUAAGAAUCGUUGCAGGUAAUUAAACUCGCAAAGAAACUACCAACAUUUGAUCUGCAGGCCAUCAAGAAUGAUCUAGCAGCUGAUGACGACAUGGACUCCUAGGAACUAUCGAGGGUUCGAAUAGUUUUAGUUGCAGGUUGCCUUUGCAAGUAGGGACAAUGUUUUUUGUAUAGUUUUACUCAGCGACUGUUUGGCAGUCGUUGGUCUGUGCUGCUGCCGUCCAAGUGCAGGGGGGGACGGUCUUGUGUUUCCUGCGUGGACGUACCAGACUCAGUUUUCUAUGCAGGACAGUGACACCUAUAUUAUGAACAAGUUGUCUUUGUUUUUGGCGCUGUGAGUGUGGUCAGACAAUCUUCUGGAGGUGAUUUUUUUUCUCUCAUCUUCUUUAAUUGUGCUUGCUGUAGGGUGUUUUCUUUGUCAAGUGGUUUGUGUAUUAGAUUACUUUCUGGAAGAGAGAAGCCCCUUCUCAUUGUGUACAGAAUUUGAGUGUCAUUGGAGUUUGGCUCUGAUUAAACACUUCAAAUGAAUUGCCACAUUUGCUGUAUAGACAAACUUUUCAAACAUUGAUCUCAUGGUUUUUCUUGAUGGGCACGUGGGCGCAAGUGAUUGAUGAGAAUGUAUAAGAGAUGAAUUUUGAAACCAUGGAUCUUGCAUAUUCUCAUGUUCUUUGUUAGGUGGUCAGUACACUUAUAUGUACGCUUAACCAGAAUAAUUUGUUGCCUUAAGCUGAUGCAUUCA